rnacentral:snRNA from 1 species
UUUUGAAUUUUGAAUACAGACUAAAACUAGAAUGACAUAGAGGAGAUGAGCCUGGCCCCUGUGCAAGGACGACACGCAAAAUCGUGAAAUGUUCCAUGUUCUU